CGGCGAUGUCCGAAUGGGGAAACCCAGUGCAAUUCGUUGCACUAUCGUUAACUGAAUACAUAGGUUAACGAGGCGAACCGGGGGAACUGAAACAUCUAAGUACCCCGAGGAAAAGAAAUCAACCGAGAUUCCCCCAGUAGCGGCGAGCGAACGGGGAGCAGCCCAGAGUCUGAAUCAGCUUGUGUGUUAGUGGAACGGUCUGGAAAGUCCGACGGUACAGGGUGAUAGUCCCGUACACCAAAAUGCACAGGUUGUGAACUCGAAGAGUAGGGCGGGACACGUGGUAUCCUGUCUGAAUAUGGGGGGACCAUCCUCCAAGGCUAAAUACUCCUGACUGACCGAUAGUGAACCAGUACCGUGAGGGAAAGGCGAAAAGAACCCCGGCGAGGGGAGUGAAAAAGAACCUGAAACCGUGUACGUACAAGCAGUGGGAGCACCUUCGGGUGUGACUGCGUACCUUUUGUAUAAUGGGUCAGCGACUUAUAUUCUGUAGCAAGGUUAACCGUAUAGGGGAGCCGCAGGGAAACCGAGUCUUAACUGGGCGUUAAGUUGCAGGGUAUAGACCCGAAACCCGGUGAUCUAGCCAUGGGCAGGUUGAAGGUUGGGUAACACUAACUGGAGGACCGAACCGACUAAUGUUGAAAAAUUAGCGGAUGACUUGUGGCUGGGGGUGAAAGGCCAAUCAAACCGGGAGAUAGCUGGUUCUCCCCGAAAGCUAUUUAGGUAGCGCCUCGUGAACUCAUCUUCGGGGGUAGAGCACUGUUUCGGCUAGGGGGUCAUCCCGACUUACCAACCCGAUGCAAACUACGAAUACCGAAGAAUGUUAUCACGGGAGACACACGGCGGGUGCUAACGUCCGUCGUGAAGAGGGAAACAACCCAGACCGCCAGCUAAGGUCCCAAAGUCAUGGUUAAGUGGGAAACGAUGUGGGAAGGCACAGACAGCCAGGAUGUUGGCUUAGAAGCAGCCAUCAUUUAAAGAAAGCGUAAUAGCUCACUGGUCGAGUCGGCCUGCGCGGAAGAUGUAACGGGGCUAAACCAUGCACCGAAGCUGCGGCAGCGACACUAUGUGUUGUUGGGUAGGGGAGCGUUCUGUAAGCCUGCGAAGGUGUGCUGUGAGGCAUGCUGGAGGUAUCAGAAGUGCGAAUGCUGACAUAAGUAACGAUAAAGCGGGUGAAAAGCCCGCUCGCCGGAAGACCAAGGGUUCCUGUCCAACGUUAAUCGGGGCAGGGUGAGUCGACCCCUAAGGCGAGGCCGAAAGGCGUAGUCGAUGGGAAACAGGUUAAUAUUCCUGUACUUGGUGUUACUGCGAAGGGGGGACGGAGAAGGCUAUGUUAGCCGGGCGACGGUUGUCCCGGUUUAAGCAUGUAGGCUGGUUGUCCAGGUAAAUCCGGAUAAUCAAGGCUGAGGUGUGAUGACGAGGCACUACGGUGCUGAAGUAACAAAUGCCCUGCUUCCAGGAAAAGCCUCUAAGCAUCAGGUAACAUCAAAUCGUACCCCAAACCGACACAGGUGGUCAGGUAGAGAAUACCAAGGCGCUUGAGAGAACUCGGGUGAAGGAACUAGGCAAAAUGGUGCCGUAACUUCGGGAGAAGGCACGCUGGUGUGUAGGUGAAGUCCCUGCGGAUGGAGCUGAGACCAGUCGAAGAUACCAGCUGGCUGCAACUGUUUAUUAAAAACACAGCACUGUGCAAACACGAAAGUGGACGUAUACGGUGUGACGCCUGCCCGGUGCCGGAAGGUUAAUUGAUGGGGUUAUCCGUAAGGAGAAGCUCUUGAUCGAAGCCCCGGUAAACGGCGGCCGUAACUAUAACGGUCCUAAGGUAGCGAAAUUCCUUGUCGGGUAAGUUCCGACCUGCACGAAUGGCGUAAUGAUGGCCAGGCUGUCUCCACCCGAGACUCAGUGAAAUUGAACUCGCUGUGAAGAUGCAGUGUACCCGCGGCAAGACGGAAAGACCCCGUGAACCUUUACUAUAGCUUGACACUGAACAUUGAGCCUUGAUGUGUAGGAUAGGUGGGAGGCUUUGAAGCGUGGACGCCAGUCUGCGUGGAGCCAACCUUGAAAUACCACCCUUUAAUGUUUGAUGUUCUAACGUUGGCCCCUGACCGGGGUUGCGGACAGUGUCUGGUGGGUAGUUUGACUGGGGCGGUCUCCUCCCAAAGCGUAACGGAGGAGCACGAAGGUUAGCUAAUCCUGGUCGGACAUCAGGAGGUUAGUGCAAUGGCAUAAGCUAGCUUGACUGCGAGCGUGACGGCGCGAGCAGGUGCGAAAGCAGGUCAUAGUGAUCCGGUGGUUCUGAAUGGAAGGGCCAUCGCUCAACGGAUAAAAGGUACUCCGGGGAUAACAGGCUGAUACCGCCCAAGAGUUCAUAUCGACGGCGGUGUUUGGCACCUCGAUGUCGGCUCAUCACAUCCUGGGGCUGAAGUAGGUCCCAAGGGUAUGGCUGUUCGCCAUUUAAAGUGGUACGCGAGCUGGGUUUAGAACGUCGUGAGACAGUUCGGUCCCUAUCUGCCGUGGGCGCUGGAGAAUUGAGGGGGGCUGCUCCUAGUACGAGAGGACCGGAGUGGACGCAUCACUGGUGUUCGGGUUGUCAUGCCAAUGGCACUGCCCGGUAGCUAAAUGCGGAAGAGAUAAGUGCUGAAAGCAUCUAAGCACGAAACUUGCCCCGAGAUGAGUUCUCCCUGAGACUUUAAGUCUCCUGAAGGAACGUUGAAGACGACGACGUUGAUAGGCCGGGUGUGUAAGCGCAGCGAUGCGUUGAGCUAACCGGUACUAAUGAACCGUGAGGCUUAACC
rnacentral:rRNA from 1 species